AUUGAACGCUGGCGGCGUGCCUAACACAUGCAAGUCGAGCGGUAACAGGUGUAGCAAUACAUGCUGACGAGCGGCGGACGGGUGAGUAACGCUUGGGAAUCUGCCUGUUAGUGGGGGACAACCCGGGGAAACUCGGGCUAAUACCGCAUACGCACUACGGUGGAAAGCCGGGGACCGCAAGGCCUGGCGCUAACAGAUGAGCCCAAGUCGGAUUAGCUAGUUGGUAGGGUAACGGCCACCAAGGCGACGAUCCGUAACUGGUCUGAGAGGACGACCAGUCACACCGGAACUGAGACACGGUCCGGACUCCUACGGGAGGCAGCAGUGGGGAAUAUUGGACAAUGGGCGAAAGCCUGAUCCAGCGACGCCGCGUGGGUGAAGAAGGCCUGCGGGUUGUAAAGCCCUUUCGGUGGGGAAGAAAAGCCUCGAGUUAAUACCUCGGGGUCUUGACGUAACCCCAUAGAAGAAGCACCGGCUAACUCUGUGCCAGCAGCCGCAGU
rnacentral:rRNA from 1 species